CGGUGGAGCAUGUGGUUUAAUUCGACGCAACGCGAAGAACCUUACCAGGGCUUGACAUCCCCUGACCGCGUAUGAAAGUACGUUUUCACCCUCGGGUGACAGGGAGACAGGUGGUGCAUGGUUGUCGUCAGCUCGUGUCGUGAGAUGUUGGGUUAAGUCCCGCAACGAGCGCAACCCCUACGUUUAGUUGCUAACGCGUGAAGGCGAGCACUCUAGACGAACUGCCGUUGACAAAACGGAGGAAGUGGGGAUGACGUCAAAUCAUCAUGCCCCUUAUGUUCUGGGCUACACACGUGCUACAAUGGCCGGUACAGACGGAGGCGAAGCCGCGAGGCGGAGCAAAUCCGAAAAAGCCGGUCUCAGUUCGGAUUGCAGGCUGCAAUUCGCCUGCAUGAAGUCGGAAUCGCUAGUAAUCGCAGGUCAGCAUACUGCGGUGAAUACGUUCCCGGGCCUU
rnacentral:rRNA from 1 species